AAAGGGCGCGUAGGCGGUUAAUCAAGUCAGAUGUGAAAGCCCUGGGCUUAACCCGGGAUGUGCAUUUGAGACUGGCUGACUAGAAUCCGAGAGAGGUUGGUGGAAUUCCCAGUGUAGAGGUGAAAUUCGUAGAGAUUGGGAAGAACACCGGUGGCGAAGGCGGCCAACUGGCUCGGUAUUGACGCUGAGGCGCGAAAGCGUGGGGAGCAAACAGGAUUAGAUACCCUAGU
rnacentral:rRNA from 1 species